rnacentral:tRNA from 1 species
GGCUCAAUGGUCUAGUGUUAAGAUUCUUGCUUCGGGUGCGAGAGGUCCUGAGUUCCACACUCAGUUGAGCCC